rnacentral:pre_miRNA from 1 species
AAAAAGGUAAACCGUGGGUUCCGUGUCAACGUUUGACUAUCCGUCUUAUAUGAAAUUUUUUUUAUAGUUAGUAUUAUCAUUGUUGUUAGAUGAUAAAACAUGAUUAAUACUUUAUACGUGACUUGUCUUUUUAAACUUUUUCAUAUUUUUUUUAAAUAAGACGGACGGUCAAAUGUUGGACACGGAAACCAGGGUUUGUCUUUUU